rnacentral:rRNA from 1 species
UACGUAGGUGGCGAGCGUUAUCCGGAAUUACUGGGUGUAAAGGGUGUGUAGGCGGGGAAGCAAGUCAGAUGUGAAAAUUAUGGGCUCAACUCAUAACCUGCAUUUGAAACUGUUUUUCUUGAGAGUGGGAGAGGUAAACGGAAUUCCUGGUGUAGUAGUGAAAUGCGUAGAUAUCAGGAGGAACACCGGUGGCGAAGGCGGUUUACUGGACCACAACUGACGCUGAGACACGAAAGCGUG